GACGAACGCUGGCGGCGUGCUUAACACAUGCAAGUCGUACGGUAAGGCCCUUUCGGGGGUACACGAGUGGCGAACGGGUGAGUAACACGUGAGUAACCUGCCCACAACUUUGGGAUAACGCUAGGAAACUGGUGCUAAUACUGGAUAUGUGCUCCUGCUGCAUGGUGGGGGUUGGAAAGCUCCGGCGGUUGUGGAUGGACUCGCGGCCUAUCAGCUUGUUGGUGGGGUAGUGGCCUACCGAGGCGGCGACGGGUAGCCGGCCUGAGAGGGUGACCGGCCACAUUGGGACUGAGAUACGGCCCAGACUCCUACGGGAGGCAGCAGUGGGGAAUAUUGCACAAUGGGCGCAAGCCGGAUGCAGCAACGCCGCGUGCGGGAUGACGGCCUUCGGGUUGUAAACCGCUUUCAGCAGGGACGAAGCUUUUUGUGACGGUACCUGCAGAAGAAGCACCGGCUAACUACGUG
rnacentral:rRNA from 1 species